ACAGCAGUAGCCGCGGUAAUACGUAGGUGGCAAGCGUUGUCCGGAAUUAUUGGGCGUAAAGGGCUCGCAGGCGGUUUCUUAAGUCUGAUGUGAAAGCCCCCGGCUCAACCGGGGAGGGUCAUUGGAAACUGGGAAACUUGAGUGCAGAAGAGGAGAGUGGAAUUCCACGUGUAGCGGUGAAAUGCGUAGAGAUGUGGAGGAACACCAGUGGCGAGGGCGACUCUCUGGUCUGUAACUGACGCUGAGGAGCGAAAGCGUGGGGAGCGAACAGGAUUAGAUACCCCAGUAGUCCCUGUCUCUUAUAC
rnacentral:rRNA from 1 species